rnacentral:rRNA from 1 species
AUUGAACGCUGGCGGCAUGCUUUACACAUGCAAGUCGAACGGUAGAGGGGAAACCCUUGAGAGUGGCGAACGGGUGAGUAAUGCAUCGGAACGUGCCCAGUAGUGGGGGAUAGCCCGGCGAAAGCCGGAUUAAUACCGCAUACGACCUGAGGGUGAAAGCGGGGGAUCGCAAGACCUCGCGCUAUUGGAGCGGCCGAUGUCAGAUUAGGUAGUUGGUGGGGUAAAGGCCUACCAAGCCGACGAUCUGUAGCUGGUCUGAGAGGACGGCCAGCCACACUGGGACUGAGACACGGCCCAGACUCCUACGGGAGUCAGCAGUGGGGAAUUUUGGACAAUGGGCGCAAGCCUGAUCCAGCCAUGCCGCGUGCGGGAAGAAGGCCUUCGGGUUGUAAACCGCUUUUGUCAGGGAAGAAAUCUUCUGGGCUAAUACCCCGGGAGGAUGACGGUACCUGAAGAAUAAGCACCGGCUAACUACGUGCCAGCCGCCGCAGUAAAAC